rnacentral:lncRNA from 1 species
UCACUGUGGAGAUGGACACAGAGGGAUCAAACGAAGGAGGGAGACCAACUCAAAUUGACUUCAUACCGGCCAUGUAAACAUCUAUCUGAUAAUGGAGUUCAUGCAGAGCUCCAUCUGUACGGUCCAACCUCAGCCUGUUGUGAAACUAACCUCUGUCACACCCGGGACGAUAAGAGAGAAAAUCCACAGCGACGACGCCUUAAGCAGAGCCAAGAUGGGGUGAUUAUUUUAAUCUUGCAGAAUUAUAACGCUGCAGUGAUUUCAAGGGACACAAGUUGGAGUGAUUUGUAUAAUUUGAAGCACUGCGGUUGGUCCAGUGUGUCCUGUCUGUGGUGGAGAUUAAACAUGACCUCUCCCACUGUGGUUAAGGCGGAGAUGAUCCAAAAGAAAAGACACAAAGAAAACACUGAGCUUUUAAACUCAGUCACGCUUGUUUUAUCCUUGCACUUCAAAAGCAUAAAACCAUUCAUGUGAGUGCUGCCAGGGUUUGUACAACUGUUGACUCACUGAUUUUUGAGUCGUCAGGCUUUUAAUUUCUAUAUUUUGGUUUCAUAUUUCAGAAAAAUACAUUCUUUUGCUGCACAUUUUUGCAUUUUGCCUUCGUUAAUAUGUUGGAUGGAUUACCUGAAAUGUUCGUAUUAUAAAAAAAACAUAAACAUAUUUGCAAUUUUAGUAAUGACACUUCUCUUGAUGAAUAUGUUUUUAAAAGCUUUGCUUUGAUUUAUUAAAAGACUAAGACAGACCUAAAAUGUUUAAUAUUAAAUCAUGUAAGCUUCAGUCAGACGGCUCUAUCAGCGCUGAACGGGGCUAAACGCCUUAGAAAGGCAGUCAUGAGUUUGUCAGGAGGAAGAAGAUACUGUUGGCUUUCUUCAAAUGGUGCUUCUCUAGCUGUCGACCCUGUCAGUCUUCUCGUCACUCGCCUGAAGCCCUGCGGCAGACUGUUUACCGAUAUCAGAGACCUCAGAGUACACCCUCCUGUCUCCUUCCUUCUCUGUGUCUUGUUCAAGCAUGAAAGGUGAAUUUCCUGAUGUUCCUGCUCCCUCUGUGACCAUUUGUAUUGUUAUUGCCAGAAAUCUGUUUGUGAAAAAUGCAUAUAAAUCUAAAGAGCAAAUCUCAUCCAUCCAUCUAUUUUCUGAACCCGCUUGUCCAAGUGGGGUCGCGGGGUG